UGUUAGUGUCCUGAGGGAGAGGGUUUGUGAAUUCAAACUAAUAAAUCUCUGUAGACGUGGACUUGGAUACGAUAAUUAACAGCACUAAGCACCUAGGAGGUCUGAGUUUUAAGUCUGAGAAACAGUUGCUUUUUAAGUAAAGCAAUGGCAAGUGGGUUGAAGACUAAGACAGGUGUGUUGCAUAUCAUGUGUGUAUGCAGAUAUUAAAAACUAGAAUUUUGCAUUAUUUUUUGUGACGUUUAUUUCUUAGAUCCGUUUCAGAAUGAAUGUGCUUGUGUUCAUAUGCACCGAUUUGUAACCCUUUUAAUUCUAUCUAUCCACAUGUGAUUAAUGUUGAUUUUUCAGGAUAAUUGGGAGGAUAUGUCAGACAAGUACUAAGAACCUUCCAAAAGCUUUUUGUGGGGUGUCUGAUCAUGUUCGCUACACCCAGGAUGCUCUUAUUGACUUGUGUUCUGGGUUAUUAAAAGCUGUAAAUUUUUUUGCCACUGUAGGAUAGGCUGCUCCAAAUCUGAAAUAGAUUCUUGCAGUGCAAGCACAAAGGAAAACAGAGAAUGCUGUCUGUGGAAGAUGAAUUUAUUUUGACUUUGUUGGACUGUAUUGUGGAUAGCCGAUUUGAUGUGCAUUUUGGGGACUUCAGUGAGCAGGAUCAUCACUUCUUGGAUACAUUUUUACGCAAGGAAACAAAUAAAAUCUUGAAUGCUAA